GAAGUUGCAGGUAUUAGACCCGAAACCGGGUGACCUAUCCAUGAGCAGGCUGAAGCGGUGGUAAGACACCGUGGAGGGCCGCACCCACGUCUGUUGAAAAAGCCGGGGAUGACUUGUGGAUAGCGGAGAAAUUCCAAUCGAACUCGGAGAUAGCUGGUUCUCCCCGAAAUAGCUUUAGGGCUAGCGUUAUUUUAGAUUACCGGAGGUAAAGCACUGAAUGGUCUAGGGGCCGCGAGGUUACCAAAGCCUAUCAAACUCUGAAUGCCGGAUAAUUGAUGAAUAGCAGUCAGACUGUGUGAGAUAAGUCUCAUAGUCAAAAGGGAAACAGCCCAGAUCUACAGCUAAGGUCCCAAAUGAACACUAAGUGGAAAAUGAUGUGAAACUGCGAAGACAACCAGGAUGUUGGCUUAGAAGCAGCCACUCAUUCAAAGAGUGCGUAAUAGCUCACUGGUCGAGUGGUUUUGCGCAGAAAAUGUAACGGGGCUAAGUGUUCAACCGAAGCUUAGGCAUUGCAGCAAUGCAUUGGGUAGGGGAGCGUCGUAUGCGGGGUGAAGUCAGAGCGGAAGCACUGGUGGACUGCAUACGAGUGAGAAUGCCGGAAUAAGUAGCGAGAAUUAUGUGAGAAUCAUAAUGGCCGAAAAUCUAAGGUUUCUUGGGGAAGGUUCGUCCGCCCAAGGUUAGUCGGGAGCUAAGCUCAGGCCGAAAGGCGUAGGCGAUGCACAUACGGUAGAAAUUCCGUAACCACCGAACAUUUAAGCUAGAGGGACGCUUUCAUUAAGGUUAUCCCGGGCGAUGGUUGCCCCGGGCGUAAGGGACCGAAAUAUAGUAGGGAAGUAACUGGCGAGAGAGACGAGAAAAGCUCUAGUGUAUACUAAGGUGCCCGUACCGCAAACCGACACAGGUAGAUGGGAUGAGUAUUCUAAGGCCAACGGGAGAAGGGUUGUUAAGGAACUCGGCAAAUUGGCCCCGUAACUUCGGGAUAAGGGGCGCUGCGAGAGCAGCCGCAGUGAAAAGGCCCAAGCGACUGUUUAGCAAAAACACAGCUCUCUGCUAAAUCGAAAGAUGACGUAUAGGGGGUGACGCCUGCCCGGUGCUGGAAGGUUAAGGGGAGUGCUUAGCGCAAGCGAAGGUGCGAACUUAAGCCCCAGUAAACGGCGGCCGUAACUAUAACGGUCCUAAGGUAGCGAAAUUCCUUGUCAGGUAAGUUCUGACCCGCACGAAUGGCGUAACGAUUUGGGCACUGUCUCAACAGCCCGCCCGGCGAAAUUGUAGUACCGGUGAAGAUGCCGGUUUCCCGCAACUAGACGGAAAGACCCCAUGGAGCUUCACUGUAGCUUGAUAUUGGAUCUCGGUAUUCCAUGUACAGGAUAGGUGGGAGACUUGGAAGUAAGCGCGCCAGCGUUUAUGGAGUCAACCUUGGGAUACCACUCUUGGGAUAUUGGGAUUCUAACCUGCGACCAUGAAUCUGGUCGGGGGACACUGUCAGGUGGGCAGUUUGACUGGGGCGGUCGCCUCCAAAAGAGUAACGGAGGCGCUCAAAGGUUCGUUCAGCACGGAUGGAAAUCGUGCACUGAGUGUAAACGCAUAAACGAGCCUAACUGCGAGAAUGACGGUUCGAGCAGUAACGAAAGUUGGAGUUAGUGAUCCGGCGGUAU
rnacentral:rRNA from 1 species